rnacentral:misc_RNA from 1 species
GGAUGUUCAAUCUAAAGGGGUUGGGAAUGAUGCAUCCUAUAUUGGUUCUGAAGGGAGGUCUUAGGUUUUAUAUAAUAUUGGUUUGCAAACCUUCCCUGGUGAGCUAGCUUUUGAAGUGGAGUCAGGCAGGUUCAUAUCAUUAGCUUUUCACUUUUCAAUCUUUUGAGUUUAGGUUUUUUUUUCCCCUACUCACUAAUUUCAAAUCAAACUGACAUUUUUGCUUCACUCAUGUUUUGAUUGGUUUUAACUCCAAGGUCUUUAGAUUGUAAUAAGGUAUUAAGGAGUGCUAGGGACUAAAGUUUCAGUCAGUUCACUUGGAGAGGUAAAAAGGCAUAUUAGAGUGGGACUGGACAUGCUAAGAAGGUUCUGUCAACAAAUUUUGUCUCAACUUUGGCUCCAGUGAACCUCAAUGAAAAGUCAUUUGCCAUAAACUUCAUGAUGGAGGAAUGUAGUUCUAAAUCAUAUGGCUUCUUUGGUGGAGAUCCUGCUAAUGUAUUUUGCUGAGUUUGCUUAU